rnacentral:lncRNA from 1 species
GUGCUUUUGAAUGUAGACAGUUACGUAUAAUGCAUUAUCUGGUAUUGUAUUUAAAAUUCUGAUGGGUACAAUCCUUGCAGUAAAAAAUUCUGAUAGGUCAUUUUUCCCAUGAAAGCCCCAUCCACCAAUAUGAACAGAAACUCUACAUCUGAUAGGUCUUAAUUCUUAGAUCUGAUAGGUAGUUUUUCAUGAUGUUUUUUUUCUGAUACGUAUAAACAAAAUUCUCCCCAUCC